rnacentral:rRNA from 1 species
AUGCAAGUCGAGCGGUAACAGAGAGUAGCUUGCUACUCUGCUGACGAGCGGCGGACGGGUGAGUAAUGCUUGGGAAUAUGCCUUAUGGUGGGGGACAACAGUUGGAAACGACUGCUAAUACCGCAUGAUGUCUACGGACCAAAGUGGGGGACCUUCGGGCCUCACGCCAUAAGAUUAGCCCAAGUGGGAUUAGCUAGUUGGUGAGGUAAUGGCUCACCAAGGCGACGAUCCCUAGCUGGUUUGAGAGGAUGAUCAGCCACACUGGGACUGAGACACGGCCCAGACUCCUACGGGAGGCAGCAGUGGGGAAUAUUGCACAAUGGGCGCAAGCCUGAUGCAGCCAUGCCGCGUGUGUGAAGAAGGUCUUCGGGUUGUAAAGCACUUUCAGUAA